UUGCUUUAGCAGCUCAUACACUAAAAUUGGAACGAUACAGAGAGGAUUAACAUGGCCCCUGCGCAAGGAUGACACACAAAUUCGUAAAGCAUUUUAUCCAUAAUUUU